AACAGGCUGCUCAGAGCUUCAUCCAGCCUGGCCUUGAGAGGUUCAUUGUCUGGCAGCAAAAACAUAGAAGGGUAGCAGUAGCACUAUCACUCCCCAACAGCUCAAUAACAUCCACCACAUCACUGCACCCCCAAAACUGCCAAGAGCUGCCAGGCCCUUCUUUGUGCCAACACUCCCAGCCUUCCUACCCACUGGCCGAGAUUUUCAGGUCAAGCCGAGUGUGGACUUCAGUGAAAAGACGUUAAGCAAGAGUAACUUGUAAAUUGCUUCCAGCAACUUCCAGACAACAAGGGAACAAACAACUAUCAACAGGCAUUACACUCAUUUCUUCACACGAAAACAGUUAUGAGGCUGAAGGGAUCCUGACAGGCAAUUGGAAAGCAGUCCUUUUUAUGCUAAAUUUACUGUAUUUUAGUCCAAUUUUCCAUGAUUUAAAAUGUGCGAUGCAAUAAAGAGCUGGAAUGCCUUCUUUUGUCAUAAUAUUUCACA